AAGUGAAGCAGAGGACAGUGGCGGACGGGUGAGUAACGCGUGAGGAACCUGCCUUUCAGAGGGGGACAACAGUUGGAAACGACUGCUAAUACCGCAUAACAUAUAGAUGUCGCAUGGCAUUUAUAUCAAAGAUUUAUCGCUGAAAGAUGGCCUCGCGUCUGAUUAGAUAGUUGGUGAGGUAACGGCCCACCAAGUCGACGAUCAGUAGCCGGACUGAGAGGUUGAACGGCCACAUUGGGACUGAGAUACGGCCCAGACUCC
rnacentral:rRNA from 1 species